UACGUAGGGCGCAAGCGUUGUCCGGAAUCAUUGGGCGUAAAGAGCUCGUAGGCGGCCUGUUGCGUCCGCUGUGAAAUCCCGGGGCUUAACCCCGGGCGUGCAGUGGAUACGGGCUGGCUGGAGGCAGGCAGGGGAGAACGGAAUUCCCGGUGUAGCGGUGAAAUGCGCAGAUAUCGGGAGGAACACCGGUGGCGAAGGCAGAUCUCUGGGCCGUAACUGACGCUGAGGAGCGAAAGCGUGGGGAGCGAACAGG
rnacentral:rRNA from 1 species